AUUUCACAUAUGUCUUUUAGGUGAAUGAGACAGAAGGGGACUUCGCCAAGCAAUCAUUGUUCGUUCGACACCCUGAGAUGAAAGCCUGGCCUUCCAGCCAUAAUUGGUUCGUUGCUAAGUUGAAUAUAACCAAUAUCUGGCUCCUGGACUACUUCGGUGGACCAAAAAUAGUGACGCCCGAAGAAUAUUAUAAUGCCACAUUUCAGUGAAGCAGGCAUUGGCGAAUUUAACCACACGGGUGCAGUUUUAGGCAGUUUUCCACGACUGGAAGAGCUUCAGGCUUCUCUGUGGAAAGUGUCCCAGAAGAUCAGCCCGUAUGCCCUCACCCGCUGGCUGGCUGACUGGCUUGCUUGUUUACAGAAUCAAAUUGGACUGUUACUGGAUUUCUUGGAAGAUGAGGUUGCCAAAUUUUAUACAUUUAAAUUUAUAGUUUUAUUACCUACAUAUAUGAUUUCGGAAGACUAUAUAAGAUUCCUCGUAAAGAGGCGUGUCAGGAAUCCAGCCACUGAACCCUUCCAUGGCUCAGAGAAAGGAGUUACAGAAUAUAUGUCGUGUUUGAAAAUGAACUUAACCCAAAUCCAGCAAACAGCUUCUGUUUAAGAAAAAUGAUUCCCAUGAAACUUGGUAACAUAGGCUUCUUUUUCAAAGCAUCCGUAAUUAAAAGCAUUGUUUUAAUGAA